CUUUGGCCCUAUUUUGUUGGUUUCUAGGACCGAAGUAAUGAUUAAUAGGGAUAGUUGGGGGCAUUAGUAUUUAAUUGUCAGAGGUGAAAUUCUUGGAUUUAUGAAAGACUAACUUCUGCGAAAGCAUCUGCCAAGGAUGUUUUCAUUAAUCAAGAACGAAAGUUAGGGGAUCGAAGACGAUUAGAUACCGUCGUAGUCUUAACCAUAAACUAUGCCGACUCGGGAUCGGGCGAUGUUAUUCAUGACUCGCUCGGCACCGUAUGAGAAAUCAAAGUUUUUGGGUUCUGGGGGGAGUAUGGUCGCAAGGCUGAAACUUAAAGGAAUUGACGGAAGGGCACCACCAGGAGUGGAGCCUGCGGCUUAAUUUGACUCAACACGGGGAAACUCACC
rnacentral:rRNA from 1 species